GUCAUAAUGGUUUCAGACCAUACAUCAGACUGGCAAAGAAAUUUUGCUGUGAAAGCAAAAAAAGGCAGGUUUGGUUCCCAAAGCUAGAAAUUGUGGUUCUCUUGCCUCGUUGUCUCCGUGUUCCCAGGAUGGAAGGACAGAACUGCCUCUUUGCUUUUCACCCCAGGACAGAUUUUAAACUAACUGGAGAUGCUAGAGAAUCUGAAACUCCUUUUCUCCUUCUGGAUGAACUCCUAUGAACUCUAUCCAAGUUUGUGCAAAGCCCAAAUGAAAUCUUCUAAGGGAACUUUGGAGACAGCAGAGGGAGCAUCACAAUAGCUCCCAUGUGGGAUCACUUCUUGCAGAAGAAUCCAGAGACUUCAGUUACUCUGAGGACCCUAUUGUGUUAAGCAACACACAUGCCUACAAAAACUGACAUUUAAGCAAUGGAUUCAAUACCAAGACCAAAUAUGCCAUUGGGAAGACUCUGUCUCCAACAAGUGCUGCCAUGAAGGAGUCCAGUCUGCAGUGGGAUGCAGACUGGCAAUUCCACCAACCCUUCUAAAAGCUGAAAGCCCAGCUCUUAUACACCCAUUUUAAUUGGGAGCCUAAAGCUAUUUUACU